CAACAUCUUUCAUCAAAUUUAAUAGUGACUGCUGAUGGCUACUUCACUGUCUGGAACUCGCAUGCCCGACUUGAAAUUCGUUGGUUUAAGAUAUUGAGAGGAAAGGUUAAAGUGUGGAGAUCCAUAUCCCUUUUAUCAAUUUUCAUAUUAUUGUUGUGUUGGCUUUUGGUGUGGAACUCUCAUGGUUGGGAUCAAUGAAGGUUAGAAUCACCACAAUUGUAUUUCUGGGAAGGAAUCGUGUGCCACGACGAGCUUUUACUUUUCAUCACCCUGUCUUGGUUGUGCUGCAGUUGUAAAGAUUGUUCAUUUUUCUUCUUUUUUUUUUGGGGUGCGUUUUGUGCGUGUGAUUUUGGAUUCUCUGUUACGUGUUAUUAGUGAUGUAAAUUUAAUAAUGAUCUUCUCAUUUCAAUGUCUCGUUCUGAAAUUCUUGUGUCAGUC